GACGUAGGGCGCAAGCGUUGUCCGGAAUUAUUGGGCGUAAAGAGCUCGUAGGCGGCUUGUUGCGUCGACUGUGAAAAACCACGACUCAACCGUGGGACUGCAGUCGAUACGGGCAGGCUAGAGUUCGGUAGGGGAGACUGGAAUUCCUGGUGUAGCGGUGAAAUGCGCAGAUAUCAGGAGGAACACCGGUGGCGAAGGCGGGUCUCUGGGCCGAUACUGACGCUGAGGAGCGAAAGCUGGGGGAGCAAACAGG
rnacentral:rRNA from 1 species